UUGAUCAUGGCUCAGGAUGAACGCUGGCGGCGUGCCUAAUACAUGCAAGUCGAACGAACUUCCGUUAAUUGAUUAUGACGUACUUGUACUGAUUGAGAUUUUAACACGAAGUGAGUGGCGAACGGGUGAGUAACACGUGGGUAACCUGCCCAGAAGUAGGGGAUAACACCUGGAAACAGAUGCUAAUACCGUAUAACAGAGAAAACCGCAUGGUUUUCUUUUAAAAGAUGGCUCUGCUAUCACUUCUGGAUGGACCCGCGGCGUAUUAGCUAGUUGGUGAGGUAAAGGCUCACCAAGGCAGUGAUACGUAGCCGACCUGAGAGGGUAAUCGGCCACAUUGGGACUGAGACACGGCCCAGACUCCUACGGGAGGCAGCAGUAGGGAAUCUUCCACAAUGGACGCAAGUCUGAUGGAGCAACGCCGCGUGAGUGAAGAAGGGUUUCGGCUCGUAAAGCUCUGUUGUUAAAGAAGAACGUGGGUAAGAGUAACUGUUUACCCAGUGACGGUAUUUAACCAGAAAGCCACGGCUAACUACGUGCCAGCAGCCGCGGUAAUACGUAGGUGGCAAGCGUUAUCCGGAUUUAUUGGGCGUAAAGCGAGCGCAGGCGGUCUUUUAAGUCUAAUGUGAAAGCCUUCGGCUCAACCGAAGAAGUGCAUUGGAAACUGGGAGACUUGAGUGCAGAAGAGGACAGUGGAACUCCAUGUGUAGCGGUGAAAUGCGUAGAUAUAUGGAAGAACACCAGUGGCGAAGGCGGCUGUCUGGUCUGCAACUGACGCUGAGGCUCGAAAGCAUGGGUAGCGAACAGGAUUAGAUACCCUGGUAGUCCAUGCCGUAAACGAUGAUUACUAAGUGUUGGAGGGUUUCCGCCCUUCAGUGCUGCAGCUAACGCAUUAAGUAAUCCGCCUGGGGAGUACGACCGCAAGGUUGAAACUCAAAAGAAUUGACGGGGGCCCGCACAAGCGGUGGAGCAUGUGGUUUAAUUCGAAGCUACGCGAAGAACCUUACCAGGUCUUGACAUCUUCUGACAGUCUAAGAGAUUAGAGGUUCCCUUCGGGGACAGAAUGACAGGUGGUGCAUGGUGUCGUC
rnacentral:rRNA from 1 species